AUUGAACGCUGGCGGCAGGCCUAACACAUGCAAGUCGAACGGUAACAGGAAGCAGCUUGCUGCUUUGCUGACGAGUGGCGGACGGGUGAGUAAUGUCUGGGAAACUGCCUGAUGGAGGGGGAUAACUACUGGAAACGGUAGCUAAUACCGCAUAACGUCGCAAGACCAAAGAGGGGGACCUUAGGGCCUCUUGCCAUCGGCUGUGCCCAGAUGGGAUUAGCUAGUAGGUGGGGUAACGGCUCACCUAGGCGACGAUCCCUAGCUGGUCUGAGAGGAUGACCAGCCACACUGGAACUGAGACACGGUCCAGACUCCUACGGGAGGCAGAAGUGGGGAAUAUUGCACAAUGGGCGCAAGCCUGAUGCAGCCAUGCCGCGUGUAUGAAGAAGGCCUUCGGGUUGUAAAGUACUUUCAGCGGGGAGGAAGGGAGUAAAGUUAAUACCUUUGCUCAUUGACGUUACCCGCAGAAGAAGCACCGGCUAACUCCGUG
rnacentral:rRNA from 1 species